rnacentral:rRNA from 1 species
UACGUAGGGUGCAAGCGUUGUCCGGAAUUAUUGGGCGUAAAGAGCUCGUAGGCGGCUUGUCGCGUCGGCUGUGAAAACCUGGGGCUCAACCCCGGGCCUGCAGCCGAUACGGGCAAGCUAGAAUUCGGUAGGGGAGACUGGAAUUCCUGGUGUAGCGGUGAAAUGCGCAGAUAUCAGGAGGAACACCGGUGGCGAAGGCGGGUCUCUGGACAUUUCCUGACGCUGAGGCACGAAAGCCAGGGGAGCAAACGGG